rnacentral:siRNA from 1 species
AGCGACGGGAUUGAAGGUCGCG